ACAAGGAGCGAGUGAUCCCGUGGAGACAUCGUCGUCGCUGGUAGCUUCCUCCGGCGGCAUUGGCGUCGAUCAAAGGCGAUUUCUGUGGGAUUUCUUGAUCGUCACGCAAGUAUAUCAUCCAAUGUCGUUGUCCUAAUGGCGUUUCGAUCAUCGCCAAUCCAAGUCAUUGUACAGAUCGUUUGUGUGAUUUGUUGAUCGAUGUGGCUUUUGUUGACUCCCCUAUGGAUAAUUGAUCGAGGGAUGAUCUGAUAGACGAGCAUCGGCGAUACUAAGGCAGAUCCACGUGUUGGCGGAGAUUGACAAACAGAGUAGAUACUGAGAACGAUACACGCUUGACUCGCCGUCCGAGGUUCUGCGAAUACCAUGAAUCGAGGUGUUACAGGAGCUGCUCUUUGCCAUCCAAAUACUCUUAUUGGGCUAGAAGAGAAAGGUUAGAUUCUCUCUAGUGCAGUGCAAUUAUUGUACUUAUGAUAUGAAAAUAGAGUGGAGUCUUCUUUUCGAGAAAUUGUUCAAUCGAUCUUACCUGCUACAAAUAUUGAGUUAUAAUGCAAAUAGUCCCUAGAAAAUUUGUGCCUACCUGUAUAAUUCAUCUUUAGCAUCUUCUUGAGCAUGUGACACCUUUUUGAAAUGCUUAUCCAAGUAUGCUUGCAAUAAAGUGUCAAAGAAACAGUGCCAUGCUAUGUUUUUUUACUGACCAAUAAUGUUGAGCGUGCAUACUUAAAAGAAGAGGUCCCAAGAACAACAUUUCCCCCUUUUUGUGCUUCUUUGUGUGGUAAACUUGCACACAGAUGAAAGCUUCAGGAAGAGAAUCUUCUGAGUCAAGACCCUUUUCAAGUGAUCCAUCCUUUAUUCUCCUUGUUCAAUGAUGAUGCAGUAGCAAAUUGCUCUCAUAGAUGACCUUUGUAAAGGUUAUAAUUGAGCUCCUUUUACUAAUCUGGUAGAUCUUAACUUCAUGAUCAAGAUAUCUGUAUUUGUACUAAAUCCAAGUGUAUGUGAUAAAAUACGUACAACUUGAUCAAUAAAC